rnacentral:rRNA from 1 species
AUUGAACGCUGGCGGCAGGCCUAACACAUGCAAGUCGAACGGUAACAGGAAGAAGCUUGCUUCUUUGCUGACGAGUGGCGGACGGGUGAGUAAUGUCUGGGAAACUGCCUGAUGGAGGGGGAUAACUACUGGAAACGGUAGCUAAUACCGCAUAACGUCGCAAGACCAAAAAGGGGGACCUUCGGGCCUCUUGCCAUCGGAUGUGCCCAGAUGGGAUUAGCUAGUAGGUGGGGUAACGGCUCACCUAGGCGACGAUCCCUAGCUGGUCUGAGAGGAUGACCAGCCACACUGGAACUGAGACACGGUCCAGACUCCUACGGGAGGCAGCAGUGGGGAAUAUUGCACAAUAGGCGCAAGCCUGAUGCAGCCAUGCCGCGUGUAUGAAGAAGGCC